rnacentral:rRNA from 1 species
UGCCCCUACGGGACGCAGCAGUGGGGAAUAUUGGACAAUGGGGGGAACCCUGAUCCAGCGACGCCGCGUGAGUGAAGAAGGCUUUCGGGUUGUAAACUUCUUUUGUCAGGGACGAAGCAAGUGACGGUACCUGACGAAUAAGCCACGGCUAACUACGUGCCAGCAGCCGCGGUAAUACGUAGGUGGCAAGCGUUAUCCGGAUUUACUGGGUGUAAAGGGCGUGUAGGCGGGGAAGCAAGUCAGAUGUGAAAACCACGGGCUCAACCUGUGGCCUGCAUUUGAAACUGUUUUUCUUGAGUGCUGGG